UACGGAGGGUGCAAGCGUUGUCCGGAAUCACUGGGCGUAAAGGGCGCGUAGGCGGCUCAUGAAGGCUGUGGUGAAAGUCCGGGGCUCAACCUCGGAUCGGCCGUGGCGACUCGUGGGCUGGAGCACUGUAGAGGCGGGUGGAAUUCCGGGUGUAGCGGUGGAAUGCGUAGAGAUCCGGAAGAACACCAGUGGCGAAGGCGGCCCGGCUGGGCAGUGGCUGACGGCUGAGGCGCGACAGCGUGGGGAGCAAACAGGG
rnacentral:rRNA from 1 species